UACGUAGGGGGCUAGCGUUGUCCGGAAUCAUUGGGCGUAAAGAGCGUGUAGGCGGUCCGGUAAGUCCGCUGUGAAAGUCGGGGGCUCAACCCUCGAAUGCCGGUGGAUACUGUCGGGCUAGAGUGCGGAAGAGGCGAGUGGAAUUCCUGGUGUAGCGGUGAAAUGCGCAGAUAUCAGGAGGAACACCUAUUGCGAAGGCAGCUCGCUGGGACGUAACUGACGCUUAGACGCGAAAGCGUGGGGAGCAAACAGG
rnacentral:rRNA from 1 species